CCUAAACCACUCCCCCUACUACGUCCUCUGUCUCCCUUCUCUGGUGAUCAGCUGUUUAUGGGCGUUUUUCUUCAAGUGAUCAACCAAUCAGAUUUGGGCUCAACCUCUCCCAUCCAAUCAUCCUGCAGCAGCAAAAAGGCUAAAACAACUCUCUCUCUUCCGCAGCCCUUCUGUCUUUUCAGGCAACCGCUGUAACCCACCACCGCCCCAGUCACCUCCAUUCCAGCUCAGCAGAGUCCAGAUCAGGCUCGGAUACCAAUUCCUCAUCGCAGCCUCCAUUCAUCUUCACCACCACCAGUGUCUAGACUCCAUAGGGGGGUCUCCUAAACCUGCUGUCGGCUUCAUUACCUUCCGAGCGUGAAGUCGUCACGAUGUAGUCUAAUCCCCCAAAGACUUUGAACAUUCGAAAUUAAUUGUUGCACAUUUAUUGUAAAUAAGUAAUUGUUCAUUCUCAAUUAAGUCUCUCCUGAUUGAAAUGUUCACAGAAUCAUGGACGUUACACAUCCAACCAAUGUGGCCAAUGCCUUAACAGAGCUCUUUGUAUUGUAUCUAUCUUCAUGUCUUUGAUUCAGAAUAUGACUGGCUACCUGUCCAGGGUUUACCAUGCAUCUAGGGACAGCUGAAAUCGGCUCCAGCCCCACCAGGGCCCCUGACUGGAUCAAUACAGUUCAUGAAGACAUGCAGAGAAUGAGCUGUGUCCCAGCAGAGCAGCUUCUUACAACUGGGGGGAGUCCCCAACCUAAUAUCCACAUGACAGAGCCUCCUGCUGUAAAGACGCAUCUUUGAAACGGGGAGAAGAAAGAGGUAAAAAGAAAAAAGGAAGGAUCAGUUGGUGUCUCUCACUUUGACUACAAAAGAGUGAAAGAGGAAAAACUUCAUUAUAUGGGCGAGUGACAGGAAAUGUGGAACACGACGACAGAGACACACAGAAUGAGGACUUUUUUUUUCUUCUUCUCCCACCUCUGUUUCAUGUCUGUCGCUGAAAAACAAAGAAGGCAUCUCUGUGGACCAUACUAUCCAUAUCACACACACACACACACACACACACACUCACACACAC